rnacentral:siRNA from 1 species
UAUCUGAUAUCCAUUCGGUCCCCA